UACGAAGGGGGCUAGCGUUGUUCGGAAUCACUGGGCGUAAAGCGCGUGUAGGCGGCCUGCUAAGUCUGAUGUGAAAGCCCGAGGCUCACCCUCGGAAGUGCACUUGGAAACUGGCAGACUGGAGUCCCGGAGAGGAGGGUGGAAUUCCUGGUGUAGCGGUGAAAUUCGUAGAUAUUCGCAAGAACACCAGUGGCGAAGGCGACACACUGGCCGUCAUACCUGACG
rnacentral:rRNA from 1 species